rnacentral:rRNA from 1 species
UACGUAGGGUGCAAGCGUUGUCCGGAAUUAUUGGGCGUAAAGAGCUCGUAGGCGGUUUGUCGCGUCUGCUGUGAAAACCUAAGGCUCAACCUUGGGCUUGCAGUGGGUACGGGCAGACUAGAGUGCGGUAGGGGAGAUUGGAAUUCCUGGUGUAGCGGUGAAAUGCGCAGAUAUCAGGAGGAACACCGGUGGCGAAGGCGGGUCUCUGGGCCGGUACCGACGCUGAGGAGUGAAAGCGUGGGGAGCAAACAGG